AAGGAAGACAGCCUUCCAGAGGAAAGGCGCCUUGUUCCUUGCUUUGUGACACUCAUCCCUGCGAGGUAGAGAAGACAAGGAGGGCUCUUCUCUCGGGAGCUUCCAAGGUUCCGGGUGAGAGCUAGCCAGCUCUGCGUUUGGAGCAGAGAGAGCAAUCCAUUCAACAUGGCAAGGUCCACAACCACUGCACAAGGCAUGGACGACACAAAGAGAUGGCUUGCCUGCAAGAGACCCAGCUGGUCUGGAGUUGGAGGCACAUUUCAUUUCUCUGCCCAGCUGGGCAGGCGGCUGGAGCAAACCAGGAGAUCGCCUCAAAUGUUUUAAAUGUCAAUAUGGUCCCUCCUUGCUGGCUUGCCAAGAUUUGACCAGCUAAAUUGGCCUGUGUGGUGUGUUCCCUGCAGUGCAUGGGAGGCAAGUGAGAGGGUAGGAAGGCGUUGUUCUUCUCUAGCAUGGUCCACCGUCAGAAGGGGAACACCAGCCCAGCAUGAGGAGAGUGACCUGGGGGCCAAGGAUGAAAUAAAAAUGACUGGGCAUCCAGAUUAAUGACUGGAUCACACGCAGGAAUGUACUGGUUGUGAGCAGCCCUGGGCCAGGGCAGAGAUGAGAAACCCAAGGUCCAGAAAGGGGACGCAAUGGCCAUAGCAGCAGCAGAGCAGGGACUGAAUCCCAAGGCUGAUGACUUUGACUUCGGUGCUCCAGCAUCCAUCUCCCCUGGAUUUCUCAGCUCGCAGGCUCGAUAACUCUCUUCUCUCCCCAGACUUGUUGGCAGGCAAGAGGAAUAACUCAUGGAGUUUCCCAGGAGUGCUCAAGGUUCUCUCCCGACCCAAUUCAUCUUCACCGUCUUGGCUCAUCCUUUAAGGUGGUGGAGCAGCCAGCUGGGCUCUACAAUAAGCAUGGAACCUGGGCAGGCUCUCUGCCUAUCA